GUCGCUGUGCCAGAGUGGUUAAUGGGAUAGACUUGAACGAUUAUUUAUAAUCUAUAGACAUCUAUUGCUUUCGAGCGCGUAGGUUCAAAUCCUGCCGGCGACG
rnacentral:tRNA from 1 species